rnacentral:rRNA from 1 species
GAUGAACGCUGACAGAAUGCUUAACACAUGCAAGUCAACUUGAAUUUGGGUUUUUAACUUAGGUUUGGGUGGCGGACGGGUGAGUAACGCGUAAAGAACUUGCCUCACAGCUAGGGACAACAUUUGGAAACGAAUGCUAAUACCUAAUAUUAUGAUAAUAGGGCAUCCUAUAAUUAUGAAAGCUAUAAGCGCUGUGAGAGAGCUUUGCGUCCCAUUAGCUAGUUGGAGAGGUAACGGCUCACCAAGGCGAUGAUGGGUAGCCGGCCUGAGAGGGUGAUCGGCCACAAGGGGACUGAGACACGGCCCUUACUCCUACGGGAGGCAGCAGUGGGGAAUAUUGGACAAUGGACCAAGAGUCUGAUCCAGCAAUUCUGUGUGCACGAUGAAGUUUUUCGGAAUGUAAAGUGCUUUCAGUUGGGAAGAAAGAAAUGACGGUACCAACAGAAGAAGUGACGGCUAAAUACGUGCCAGCAGCCGCGGUAAUACGUAUGUCACGAGCGUUAUCCGGAUUUAUUGGGCGUAAAGCGCGUCUAGGUGGUUAUGUAAGUCUGAUGUGAAAAUGCAGGGCUCAACUCUGUAUUGCGUUGGAAACUGUAUAACUAGAGUACUGGAGAGGUAAGCGGAACUACUAGUGUAGAGGUGAAAUUCGUAGAUAUUUGUAGGAAUGCCGAUGGGGAAGCCAGCUUACUGGACAGAUACUGACGCUGAAGCGCGAAAGCGUGGGUAGCAAACAGG